UUUCCUACGGGGGGCAGCAGUGGGGGAUAUUGCACAAUGGGGGGAACCCUGAUGCAGCGACGCCGCGUGGGUGAAGGAGUAUUUCGGUAUGUAAAGCCCUAUCGGCAGGGAAGAAGCAAGACGGUACCUGACUAAGAAGCCCCGGCUAACUACGUGCCAGCAGCCGCGGUAAUACGUAGGGGGCGAGCGUUAUCCGGAUUCACUGGGUGUAAAGGGAGCGUAGACGGCCAAGCAAGCCAGGGGUGAAAGCCCGGGGCCCAACCCCGGGACUGCCCUUGGAACUGCUUGGCUGGAGGGCGGGAGGG
rnacentral:rRNA from 1 species